GAUGCCAGAAAAUGUAAACACAACCUGAGUCAAGAUAAGAGAGAGUUUAGCCAAGACUUUCACCAUAACCUCUAGGCUCUCUACACCUUUCUCUUUACCUGACUCACACCUGUUGGCUAUACUACACACUAUGUAAAAGGUCGGGCAGUUUGGAGUACGCAACAUUGUUUGUAGCGAUGGAACCCCGCCGGGGUCCAUACAGCACCAGCGGUCCCGGAGUUGCUCACAGUCUCAGGAUAGAAGGCAGUGGUGGCUUGUCCAGGAUUCCUGCAAGUUUAUCAAUACCUUCGUCAGCUCCCACUCCCGGCUCAGCCAUCAUGAGUUCCUUAGCUUCCUACGCUUCAGAUGGCCAGUACGACCAUUCCUUCAACUCCCUGGCCUCCCUCCAGAGCAACAUCACCCCAGACAUACUGAACAAUGAGCUGCGUAGUGUUGACCUGGGACCCCCGGAGAAACAAUGUUUCAAACUUAUAAAUGAAAAAGAAGAGUUGCAGGUGAAGAACGCGGAGGAGCUGCUCAAGAAGAUGGGUUGUCCCCGAGAUAAGGACCUGCAGGUGAAGGUUGUAUCCAUAUUUGGCAACACUGGGGAGGGCAAGUCUUACACCAUGAACCAGAUCUUCUUCAAGGGUGCCGAGGUGUUCAAGACCAGUUCAAACCAGUCAUCAUGUACCCUUGGUGUGUGGGGAGCUUAUGAUGGUGCUAACAAGGCUCUAGUCCUGGACACAGAGGGCAUGUUGGGCAUCAGUAACAGCUCCAAACAGCGUAAACGUCUGUUGCUCAAGGUACUUGCAGUGUCAGAUGUCAUCAUAUACCGGACACGCUCAGAGAGACUCAACACUGACAUGUACAAGUUCUUGGCUGAGGCGUCAAGAGCUUACACAAAGUAUUUCCGUGCUGACUUGGAGGCCGUAGCACGUAAGGCAGAGUGCGACUGUAUCUUCGGGCCCCCGGUGUUUAUAUUCCACGACACCCGCCACACCAGUGUUCUCAAAGAAGAGGCCGGCCACAACCCAGAGGAACAGUUGAAAGAAAACUUUUUAAAACAAAACCUCAAGAUAGACGGCUUUAACAGUUUACAUUAUAUUGGUGAACACAACACCGGAAACGACACGGACUUUAAGCGUAUGAGACAAGCCAUCACCGAGGAACUACAGAAUAACGGCGUGCGGUCGCCACGACGACCAAAGAUUAUCCUCGACAUGUUGGAAACAAUAAACAGAAAAUUUAGUGGGCAGAUUCAGAGCAGCGAGCCGGCCUUCCCGGACGAGUACUUCACCUGCACCAGCGUUUGUGUCGCCUGCCAGGCACGAUGCUCUCUCUUCAUGAACCACGCGACCCACGACGGUGGCUCCAUAGAUCACGAGGCCGAGCGCCAGUGUAAAUAUCACCAUCAGUUUGAGAAUAAGGUGUUCCUCUGUCGGAAGUGCGACAGUGACGGGGAGAGACGAAUUGUGGUCCCCAAGACAUCAUCGGCCAAGGACAACACGUGGCUGGGCCUCGCUAAAUAUGCCUGGGCGGGUUAUGUGCUGGAGUGUGAGAAGUGUGGCAUUAUCUACCGGAGUCGUCAGUACUGGUACGGUAACGAGUCUCCUGACAGGUGUGUGGUAAAGGAAGAGUUCCAGCAUGUAUGGCCCGGCACUGUCCUAGGAGGGGCAGCACAUGCUGGCAGACAGGUACUGGAAGGUGUGGCAGCUCUGGGCUCAGCUAUCUCAACAAUAUCAGCUCCUCCUGCAAAAGUUGUGUCCUCAUGGCUGACAAACCAGGUCAACCCAGCAUACUGGACCCCCAAUCACUUAUGCACACAUUGUAAGAUGUGCCAAGAACCCCUCGACACCAUCCACCACUGUCGCAAGUGUGGGGAAGGUUUCUGUGACAACUGUUCUGAUGUUAAAAUGACUGUGCCCGAAAUGGGAUGGGGUGACGAACCUGUCAGAGUGUGCAAAAAUUGUUACAAAACCAGGAAUAACCCGGACACAGGAGCAGAAGACUAUGAUAGUAACAAUGACGAGCGAACGGUACGCGCUCGACAAGUCAGUGAAGUCAUUUCUGGAACAUUGGCUUCUGUGGCAAAAUAUCCAAUAGAGUUUCUUAAGGACAGUACACGACCAUCCUAUUGGAUUCCGGACGAAAUUAUUAAAAACUGCAUAGUGUGCGAGAGAGAAUUUGGGACCAGACUAGCGUUACAUCACUGCCGGGCGUGUGGCCAGGGCGUGUGUGACGGCUGUUCUCCGAACCUUAAGCCAGUCAAGGAACGGGGCUGGGAUCACCCCGUUCGGGUCUGCAACAACUGCCUUAAGUAGUCAGUCGUGACAUGUGUUUUCAUAAUUAUGUAAGUAAGGAUCUCUGUUUCCAAAUUUAAAAAGAAAUUGUAGGUUUUAAUACUGCUUGUUUAGAAAAGCUGCCCUCAGGAAUAUACAUCACUUUUGGACCUUUAAUGUUUUGGCUUGUUAUGUUAAUAGCAGGGAAGACUCCUCUAAUAUUAACUGUGAGUUUAAAUUUUGAUAACUUUUAUAAAUAGAGUUAAAAGAGGGACACAAUAGAGGAUUGUGGGGGGAAUAUUUGCUUAAAUGUGGUGGUGCAGAUAACCUGAGUCACCAGGUGUGUAGUGAGGUAAUAAAGCUCUUACUGGUUAACCAUUAUACUGCCACAAACAAUGGAAGACAUUUUGAUAACAUUUUAUUACAAACUGAAGGUAUUGUAAUGGCAAUAAACUGAAGGUAUUGUGAUAGCAACAAACUGAAGGUAUUGUGAUGGCAACAAACUGAAGGUAUUGUGAUGGCAACAAACUAAAGGUAUUGUGAUGGCAACAAACUGAAGGUAUUGUGAUGGCAACAAACUGAAGGUAUUAUGAUGGCAACAAACUGUGAUGAACCUUAAGAGCCGUUGCGGUGGGCCGUUUCCUCAUAUGUUGUUGUAGUAAAAGUGGGCGGCAACAACGUGAGUGAUUAAGGCUUUCCCCAAUCAUAGUGAUGUUGUGGGAAAUUAUGACAAGAACAGACCAGGAAGGCUGCAGGGAACUGUACUUAUGACCCUUCACAAAACAUGGCAGAGAAGCAACUAUGGCUUCCUGUACAUACACACAGAAAAGUCAAGAAUACGACUGACUAUACAAACAUUAAUGUGUUGUAUGGAUCUUCAACUGUCACUCUACGCUUGUGUUGGUUGUUAGACAAAAUGAAGUUGAGAGAAUAAGGAUACUUUGGAUUUUAAUUUUGAUAAUGGUACUAAAUUGUGAAAUAUGUUGUUACAUACAGUAAUAAGAUUUUUUAUGAGAUGUUUGUGCACAACAAUGAUGUACUGUAUGUGUACAACAUAUACUGAGAAGUACUUUGUGAUUAUUUUGUUAUUGAAUAAUGUGUUGUACUAUAUAUUGACUUUACUCUUAGCAACUUUGUGAACACAGUAUUAUAAUUUUAAUGCAAUAUAAUACUUUUGUAUCAUUUACAUAACUGCACUACAGUUCUUGGUGACACUUGUAAUACAACUUGUCAACUUUAAGUCAAAUUAUUCUGUACUGUGGUGGUGAUGAAGUCUUAAUCUCUCACACACACACAUGUAAGAUGUUGUACCUUGACCUAACCAUUGUCAGCUGAACAUCAGGUAACAAGUGACACUCUUAAAUGUAGCCACAUAUUUCUUGGAACUAUUUAGUGUUUGUUGUACAUAAGUCAGUCAAUUAGAUACUGUAUUGUACCAUGAUUAUAAAGAGGAUAUACGCUAGGAUGUGUCAUAGUGAUCGUCAGACUCGGUUAGAUGAAGAUUGAGGCUGCAUCACUGCCCUCCUUGGACCAAUACAGAUUUGUUCUCAGCCGCUAACACCAACAAAUGUGGCAAAUUUCAGUCAUGCACCGUUUCUUUCAUUAUGCUCAAAUUUAUUAAUCGUCGGAGACAUAACUAUCAGGGGACGUAGGUAGCACAUUAUAUUUCUAUUUUAUGCUCAUUACUAUGGUUUGUCGAUGUGGGUGAUUCCUUCCUCUGUCAUUUUCUAAGUAAACUUUAACUUGUGUA
rnacentral:misc_RNA from 1 species